rnacentral:rRNA from 1 species
CAGUCGAACGGAAGUACCUUCGGGUACUUUAGUGGCGAACGGGUGAGUAAUACAUAGGUAACCUACCCUUAAGACGAGGAUAGCCAUUGGAAACGAUGGAUAAAACUGGAUAGGAUAUAGAGGAAGAAUCUUUUAUAUUUAAAAGAGAGAUCUGCUUAAGGAGGGGCCUGUGGCGCAUUAGCUAGUUGGUGGGGUAAGGGCCUACCAAGGCGAUGAUGCGUAGCCGGACUGAGAGGUUGAACGGCCACAAUGGAACUGAGAACGGUCCAUACUCCUACGGGAGGCAGCAGUAGGGAAUUUUCGGCAAUGGGGGGAACCCUGACCGAGCAACGCCGCGUGAACGAAGAAGUUAUUCGUAAUGUAAAGUUCUUUUAUCAGGGAAGAAAGAGGAAUUUGACGGUACCUGAGGAAUAAGCUCCGGCUAACUACGUGCCAGCAGCCGCGGUAAUACGUAGGGAGCGAGCGUUAUCCGGAAUUAUUGGGCGUAAAGGGUGCGUAGAUGGCAUAGUAAGUCUUUUGUAAAAAUGCUGGGCUCAACCCAGUAGGGCAAAAGAUACUGCAAAGCUAGAGUAUGACAGAGGCAAGUGGAACUACAUGUGUAGCGGUAAAAUGCGUAAAUAUAUGUAAGAACACCAGUGGCGAAGGCGGCUUGCUGGGUCGAUACUGACAUUGAGGCACGAAAGCGUGGGGAGCAAACAGGAUUAGAUACCCUGGUAGUCCACGCCCUAAACGAUGAGUACUAAGUGUUGGUGAGAAUCAGUGCUGAAGUUAACGCAUUAAGUACUCCGCCUGAGUAGUACGUACGCAAGUAUGAAACUUAAAGGAAUUGACGGGAGCCCGCACAAGCGGU